CCGGCGAGCGGCGGACGGGUGAGUAAUGUCUGGGAAACUGCCUGAUGGAGGGGGAUAACUACUGGAAACGGUAGCUAAUACCGCAUAACGUCGCAAGACCAAAGAGGGGGACCUUCGGGCCUCUUGCCAUCAGAUGUGCCCAGAUGGGAUUAGCUAGUAGGUGGGGUAACGGCUCACCUAGGCGACGAUCCCUAGCUGGUCUGAGAGGAUGACCAGCCACACUGGAACUGAGACACGGUCCAGACUCCUACGGGAGGCAGCAGUGGGGAAUAUUGCACAAUGGGCGCAAGCCUGAUGCAGCCAUGCCGCGUGUAUGAAGAAGGCCUUCGGGUUGUAAAGUACUUUCAGCGGGGAGGAAGGUGUUGAGGUUAAUAACCUCAGCGAUUGACGUUACCCGCAGAAGAAGCACCGGCUAACUCCGUGCCAGCAGCCGCGGUAAUACGGAGGGUGCAAGCGUUAAUCGGAAUUACUGGGCGUAAAGCGCACGCAGGCGGUCUGUCAAGUCGGAUGUGAAAUCCCCGGGCUCAACCUGGGAACUGCAUUCGAAACUGGCAGGCUAGAGUCUUGUAGAGGGGGGUAGAAUUCCAGGUGUAGCGGUGAAAUGCGUAGAGAUCUGGAGGAAUACCGGUGGCGAAGGCGGCCCCCUGGACAAAGACUGACGCUCAGGUGCGAAAGCGUGGGGGAGCAAACAGGAUUAGAUACCCUGGUAGUCCACGCCGUAAACGAUGUCGACUUGGAGGUUGUGCCCUUGAGGCGUGGCUUCCGGAGCUAACGCGUUAAGUCGACCGCCUGGGGAGUACGGCCGCAAGGUUAAAACUCAAAUGAAUUGACGGGGGCCCGCACAAGCGG
rnacentral:rRNA from 1 species